UACGGAGGGGGCUAGCGUUGUUCGGAAUUACUGGGCGUAAAGCGCACGUAGGCGGCCUUGUAAGUUAGAGGUGAAAGUCCAGGGCUCAACCCUGGAAUGCCGAUGGAUACUGCCGGGCUAGAGUUCGGAAGAGGCGAGUGGAAUUCCUGGUGUAGCGGUGGAAUGCGCAGAUAUCAGGAGGAACACCUAUAGCGAAGGCAGCUCGCUGGGACGACACUGACGCUGAGACGCGAAAGCGUGGGGAGCGAACAGG
rnacentral:rRNA from 1 species